rnacentral:rRNA from 1 species
CCUACGGGAGGCAGCAGUGAGGAAUAUUGGUCAAUGGCCGGAAGGCUGAACCAGCCAUGCCGCGUGAAGGUCAGUGCCCUAUGGGCGUUAAACUUCUUUUGUGCGGGAGCAAUAAUGGUCACGUGUGGCCAGACGAGAGUACCGUACGAAUAAGCAUCGGCUAACUCCGUGCCAGCAGCCGCGGUAAUACGGGGGAUGCAAGCGUUAUCCGGAUUUAUUGGGUUUAAAGGGUGCGUAGGCUGUGAGGUAAGUCAGCGGUGAAAUGCCCCCGCUCAACGGGGUGAAGUGCCAUUGAUACUGCCUGGCUGGAAUGCGGAUGCCGUGGGAGGAAUGUGUGGUGUAGCGGUGAAAUGCAUAGAUAUCACACAGAACACCGAUUGCGAAGGCAUCUCACGAAUCCGCGAUUGACGCUGAUGCACGAAAGCGUGGGUAUCAAACAGGAUUAGAUAUCCGAGUAGUC